rnacentral:rRNA from 1 species
UGGGGAAUAUUGCACAAUGGGGGGAACCCUGACCGAGCAACGCCGCGUGAGUGAAGAAGGUUUUCGGAUCGUAAAGCUCUGUUGUUAAGGAAGAACGAGUGUGAGAAUGGAAAGUUCAUGCUGUGACGGUACUUAACCAGAAAGGGACGGCUAACUACGUGCCAGCAGCCGCGGUAAUACGUAGGUCCCGAGCGUUGUCCGGAUUUAUUGGGCGUAAAGCGAGCGCAGGCGGUUAGAAAAGUCUGAAGUGAAAGGCAGUGGCUCAACCAUUGUAGGCUUUGGAAACUGUUUAACUUGAGUGCAGAAGGGGAGAGUGGAAUUCCAUGUGUAGCGGUGAAAUGCGUAGAUAUAUGGAGGAACACCGGUGGCGAAAGCGGCUCUCUGGUCUGUAACUGACGCUGAGGCUCGAAAGCGUGGGGAGCGAACAGG